rnacentral:misc_RNA from 1 species
UCUCUCUCUCUCUCUCUCUAUUGAUAACCAAAAGUUUCUCUCUUUUAAAAAUUUCUUCUUGGACAGCGUACCGCACCCUCUCUCUCCUUUUCACUCUCUUUUCUUAUCUACUACUACAAGAGCAGAGGAGUAUCGAUUUCUAUUUUACACAUCUUUUUCUCUUGGGCUGACACAGUCCCUAUAAUUCAAACUCCAUUGCUUCUCCUUCUGUUUUAUCCAAUUCUGCAACUUCUCUCUUUCUUUGUUGUUUUGGGUCACCAAUCAUGGGCGGCUGUUUAAGCAGGAAAAAGGGGUCUUCUUCUUUGAAUGCAACUACCCCUGUGUCUUUUUCAUCUAUGGAAGCAGUAGUUCCAGAUAAAUUAUGUGCUCUCAAAGGGGAUGCUGAUGUUAAUAUCAAGGAGAAGCUAAUCGGGGAAGAGAAGGUGAAGAAACAGCUAGUGGUUGAAGAAGAAGGAUUGGUGAAGAAGGAGAUUUUUGUGAUAAAACACAGGACAAGCCACGAUAGAGAGAAACUCGCUCCUCCUCAGAAGGAUAUUGCGCUAGUGGAAGAAAACAGGGUUGCUUCUGCUCUUCCCAGUAGUACUAAUACUAACCCAAGCGCAGGUGAUGUUAAAAUAGGCAAUAAUGACAGCACUAUGGUGAUGAGGACCUCAAGCUGCGCAAAAGAGGAGGUGGAUGCUAUUCUCAUACAAUGUGGAAGGCUUAGCCGGAGCAAUUCGUUUGGAGCCGGAAAGGCUGCUUCUUCAGGCAGGAAGUACUCCGGGCACAAGAGGAGUUAUGACUUGGAUCACAAUGACCAGGACCAAGAUGUUGAGAUUGCUCCUGCUUCUACUUAU